GUAGGUGGCAAGCGUUGUCCGGAAUUAUUGGGCGUAAAGCGCGCGCAGGUGGUUCUUUAAGUCUGAUGUGAAAGCCCCCGGCUCAACCGGGGAGGGUCAUUGGAAACUGGGGAACUUGAGUGCAGGAGAGGAAAGUGGAAUUCCACGUGUAGCGGUGAAAUGCGUAGAUAUGUGGAGGAACACCAGUGGCGAAGGCGACUUUCUGGCCUGUAACUGACACUGAGGCGCGAAAGCGUGGGGAGCAAACAGGGAUUAGAUACCCUGGUAGUCCACGCCGCAAACGAUGAGUGCUAAGUGUUGGGGGGGGUUUCCGCCCCCUCAGUGCUGCAGCUAACGCAUUAAGCACUCCGCCUGGGAGUACGGUCGCAAGACUG
rnacentral:rRNA from 1 species